CAUUUUUCUCCUCCCCCAACACGAAAAUGACAUAAUAUUGUCCAAGUGCAAAUGACAGGGUGCUUCAACUUACUCAAGUAAAAAAAAAUAUAUUAUUUGCAUCACCUUCUACUUUAUAUAAACAGAGCAUAGGAAUUUAUGCUAGUUAUUGAUAUUACUAACCUAGAGAUGAACCUGUGGCAUGAGAUGCACCCCUCGCCCCCCGCAACCACCACCAAAUGUUACCAACAGCAUCACAUAAGCAGUCAAACUUGGUUUACAUUGAUAAAGGUGGUUUACAUUGAUAAGUGUUCUUUUAAAAAAAAUAAGAGCAUGUUUUUUCCCACCUUUUUCAAUUGUACCCUCCUACGCCGUUCCAUUCUCAAGUGGUGCAUAUUGUUCAGAAUGUGAAAAAUAAAAGACCAAACAUCCACAGGUCAACCACUAGAUCUAACAGAAACUUGAAUGCCAGUUGCAAGCACUAGAGUGAUCUAUUAAAAAAUCAGUGUUCAAAUAGUGCUUUAUCAUACUAGUAUACUACUGAUAUUAUCCUGCAGUACCAAAUGGCACAGAAGUCUGGUCAAGUAAGAAACUGAAUCUAGAUACUUUAUGAAUUACUAGUGUGAAUUACUAACUUCGUAGAUACUAGAUACAUCAAAGUCCAAUUGACCAGAAAUUGUAUAAGAAAAAAAUGCUACAAUAUGGUGCUUCCUCAUGCCAUAAUUUCUAUAUGAAUACUACCCUUAAGUAGCUUGUCCGUAUUGGAUACCAUAUACUGAAACCUUUUAUAGUAGACUGAUACUAAAAAAUGGAUACUUCCCCAUCCUAGGCAUACUGCAGACAUCUUGCAUCCAGUAAAAAGUCAAUCUUCAAGAGUACAAUAUCUAAGAAUUAGACGUCUAACUUGUAUUUCUUUAUGUAAUCUAUACGGUCUACACCAUCCUAUCGGUGUACUCUAUGUUGCCUAGUUGCAUCAGCUGCACUUGAGAGUUGAUUCUUAAAAUUAUCUAUCAGACUAUCAACAACAUUUUGUUUCUUUGGUAUAUGACACACAGCUGUAUUAAGGAGUGAUCUUGCAUUUGUGUGCCACCCACAGUUACAAAGUUCCCUGUACGUAGGCUACGGGGAAUGGAGUACGGAACAUGGAUCGCCAAUUUUAAGUUCCCAGUUCGUAGGGUGUAUACCUCUUCGGUAUGAUUGGUCCGAGAAGGGGAUCACGAUCCUUGGAUAAUUGGAACGACGUACCCGGAACAUAGCUAUGGAACGCAUCAAUUUUAAUAUCAGGAAGUGGAAACAUUUCCCUCAUAACUAAAUCAUGAAUUUGCUCACGUUUAGUAGCUAUGGGCUGGCUCUAUGGACUGAAUAGGCCCAAGCACUACUUUCAAGCCCAAUAACCAAGUGAACCCCAGUCCAGAGUCAUCGUCAUCCAUCAUUCGCACUCGUCCUUUCUUCUCCCCAAUCACCUCAGCCUGCGGCGCUCGCGUUCAUCGUUCCCUGCCCUGCCGUCCGCAUCCACCUGGCAGUCAAGCCCAGGCGCCGCCACGUGCUUUCUUUCCUCCUCGAUGAUCCAGUUUGUUUUGCUUGGGACGUCAUCCCAGGCAUGAUCUGUCAUCCGUUUCGCUCUGUUCCCGAUCCGCGAUCCGGAACGGAAGUUCUAAGGACGCAGAACGCCAGUACGAUAUGCGUUCCGCGUGACUGGUGCCACCAUACCGGUAUCAAGAAUUUUUGUUUCUAAGUUUCUAAUGACCUUUAAUGCAGAAACAUUGUUUUUAUUUAACAUGACUCCACUGCACUCUGCACAUCAGCUCAAACAAGAAAAAGCACUAUACAUUGAAAUACUUGCAACAACAGUCAACAGACCUUGAUAAAUGGAAUACUAGAUCGUAUCUCAGCAGAUGCUCACUAAGAUAUUAAAAUUUUGGACCCUAUAAAGGUACAGACUUUUGAGUAAUAAAAAGAAAACAAGCAAACAACCCUGACAGGAAAAGUUACAUUAAUCUCCUUACUUGUAUAGCAGCAACAGCUUCUAUUCCACCAGCAGCUCCUAGCAGAUGGCCU
rnacentral:lncRNA from 1 species